rnacentral:rRNA from 1 species
CCUACGGGAGGCAGCAGUGAGGAAUAUUGGUCAAUGGACGAGAGUCUGAACCAGCCAAGUAGCGUGAAGGAUGACUGCCCUAUGGGUUGUAAACUUCUUUUAUAUGGGAAUAAAAUGUUCCACGUGUGGGAUUUUGUAUGUACCAUAUGAAUAAGGAUCGGCUAACUCCGUGCCAGCAGCCGCGGUAAUACGGAGGAUCCGAGCGUUAUCCGGAUUUAUUGGGUUUAAAGGGAGCGUAGGUGGAUUGUUAAGUCAGUUGUGAAAGUUUGCGGCUCAACCGUAAAAUUGCAUUUGAAACUGGCAGUCUUGAGUACAGUAGAGGUGGGCGGAAUUCGUGGUGUAGCGGUGAAAUGCUUAGAUAUCACGAAGAACUCCGAUUGCGAAGGCAGUUCACUGGACUGCAACUGACACUGAGGCUCGAAAGUGUGGGUAUCAAACAGGAUUAGAUACCCGAGUAGUC